UUGCUGUCGAUCCCGUAGUACUCGAACUGGAACAGGCCGCCGACCCAGAGCUCGAAGUUGCCCGAGGCGAAGCCGAAGCCCUUGCCCUUCUGGUGCUUCGUGACGACCCCGGCCUCGUCCCCUUCCUUCGCCAGGUACUCGGAGAUCGAGGUGUCGAGGCUCGAAAGGUGCCGGUCGACCUGGCUCUGGUCUUCCUUCAUCCGGU
rnacentral:rRNA from 1 species